rnacentral:tRNA from 1 species
UUCGAUCCUUCCGUCCCA